rnacentral:rRNA from 1 species
UACGGGGGGGGCAAGCGUUGUUCGGAAUUACUGGGCGUAAAGGGUUCGUAGGUGGCCAACUCAGUCAGACGUGAAAUCCCUCAGCUUAACUGGGGAACUGCGUCUGAUACUGGAUGGCUCGAGUGCAGGAGAGGAACGCGGAAUUCCAGGUGUAGCGGUGAAAUGCGUAGAUAUCUGGAGGAACACCGGUGGCGAAGGCGGCGUUCUGGACUGUAACUGACACUGAGGAACGAAAGCCAGGGGAGCAAACGGG